GGUGAGGCCGUGCACGCGGGCGGGGGAAGAGGUGGGGUGGAAGGGGUGGUUGGAAUCAGUGGGGGGAAAGAGCGCGUAGGCGGUCCGGUAAGUCCGCUCUGAAAGUCCGGGGCGCAACCCCGGGAGGCGGGCGGAUACUGCCGGGCUAGAGUCCGGAAGAGGCGAGUGGAAUUCCUGGUGUAGCGGUGAAAUGCGCAGAUAUCAGGAGGAACACCGAUGGCGAAGGCAGCUCGCUGGGACGGUACUGACGCUGAGGCGCGAAAGCGUGGGGAGCAAACAGGAUUAGAUACCCCAGUAGUC
rnacentral:rRNA from 1 species